rnacentral:lncRNA from 1 species
CUCAAGAAGAGGUUUGGCAGUAACAAAGUUUAGCUAUUCUGCUGGCCAUCACUCCGGAAAGUGUUCCCACGAAGUGGCUGACUUAAAAAGUAAGCUUGACUAAGUAUCAUAUCACAUGAGCAGCACUGGAAAGAGGCAGAGCUGAGGGAAAGAGGGAAGCUUCUGUGUAGACGUCGACUUUACUCUUUGACCACCAUACCUUGCCUUUCAGUUUGUGGGUAGCUUAGGAAACCGAAGUCAGACAACAUAAUUGGCUUUUGGGGGAUAAGAAUUGUGUCUUUCGGAUGUUUCUCAUAGUGCUUUACAGGAUAUACCCUCAAAAGAAGCUGAAAAAAUUUUAAAAAGAAAGUCUGACACAUUUCAAUGCUGUGUUCAAGCCUUCUGUUUUCCAAAAGAGGCCAUCAGGUAUCACAGCAAAUCACUUUUGUGGAUUAUAAAAGGAAGGUGACUUGCAGCUCUAAAAUCUUAAAUUCUCUGCUCCAUGUUCUGUGUUUUAUAAAUAAGCAUAAUUGGUAUUCAGAAAAGAAAUCUGCAAUCUCAGCCUACUUCAGGAUGUUGGUCUUUCAGCCCACAUGGCUUACUCAUCUUUCAAGUGCAAGGCAGCUCUGCGUGGAGGAUGAUCUCACUCCGGACAAGUAAACACCAAUACCACCAACCUGAGUAGGCCUUCCAUGAAAUACUGGGGACACUAAGAAGCCACACCCCCUGAAACAUUCUAUGGUCAUUCAGCAUUUGAAGCAAAUUGGAAAGGUGAAAAACCUGAUAAGUGGGUGCCUCAUGAGCUCACCGAAAAUUUUUUUAAAAAUUGUCGUUUUGAAGUGUCAUCUUCUCUUAUUCUAUGCAACAACAAUGAACCAUUUCUUGAUUGGAUUGUGAUGUGCGAGGAAAAGUGGAUUUUAUAUGACAACUGGCGAUGACCAGCUCAGUGGUUGGACCGAGAAGAAGCUCCAAAACACUUCCCAAAGCCAAACUUGCACCAAAAAAGGUCCUGGUCACUGCUUGGUGGGCUGCUGCUGGUCUGAUCCACUGCAGCUUUCUGAAUCCCUGGGAAACCAUUACACCUGAGAAGUAUGCUCAGCAAACCAAUGAGAUGCACCAAAAACUGCAAUGCCUGCAGCUGGCUUUGGUCAACAGGAAGGGCCCAAUUCUUCUCCACCACAAUGUCCGACUGCACAUCACAACCCACGCUUCAGAAGUUGAACAAAUUGGGCUACGAAGUUUUGCCUCAUCUCCCAUGUUCACCUGACCUCUCGCUGAGAAGUAGCUUUGGAGCUUCUUCUCGGUCCAAACACUGAGCUGGUCAUCGCCGGUUGUCAUAUAAAAUCCACUUUUCCUCGCACAUCACAAUCCAAUCAAGAAAUGGUUCAUUGUUGUUGCAUAGAAUAAGAGAAGAUGACACUUCAAAACUACCACUUCUUCAAGCAUCUCAACAACUUUUUGCAGGGAAAAUGCUUCCACAACCAGCAGGAUGCAGAAAAUGCUCUCCAAAAGUUUGUCAAAUCCUGAAGCAUGGAUUUUUAGGCUACAGGAAUAAACGUAUUUCUCACUGGCAGAAAUUUAUUGAUUGUAAUGAUUCCUUUUUUGGUUAAAGACAUGUUUGAGCCUAGUUAUAACGACUUACAAUUCACGGUCCAAAACUGCAAGUACUUUUUGCACCAGCGAGAUGUGCAUAUGAGAAGCUUAUUUCACCAAGCCUCUUAUCUAGUCAUCUGUAUAAUUAUUUCAAGCACAGGAGGGACCCUACUUCUUACUGGGGAGGAUUAAGGAAGGCUUCCUGGAGGAUUGUCUCAGAGCUUGCUGCAGGUGCAUAUUGAAAAGCAAUUCAUUACAAUUUUCUAUAAGAGACUGUGGCUGAACAAUGAUACACAGGUAUGGUCAGAACUUUGUGUAACAAUUUCUGCAUCACAUGUGUAGAAAUCUUAAGGAAAGGAAUACUCUCUCUCAGCAAGUUGAGCCCUGUAGCCAGAUACUUUGAGUAGUGUUUCCUGAAUCUUUAAAACCCACUGACUUCAAAUGGCAUGACUUCCAGAGUAUAGAGGUGGGUAUAAAGAGCAACUCAGCCCCCCACACCCUUAAAAUCACAUCUUGUCAAAAACUUGAAGACUUUCAGGACUUGUGGAUUCAUUCCUCUUUCCAUCGCCACUGCAAAAGCUCAUAGGAAAUUUUUCUCUGUACAUAAAGAAGGAAAUCAUGCUCUCACAGCUGCAUCCUGAGUAAUCACUUUUGAGAUAAAACUAUUUUUCUAGCCAUAAAAGCUAUAUUUGAAUUUCACCAGCUGCUUUCUUAAUGAUUACUAGACUAUUUUGAUAAUGGCACCAGCUUCAGGAAAGGUGGUGAUGCUACCUAACCUUGCUUUGAUAAGAAAGAUUUUUGCAUCAGGGGAGAUUACACUUAUUUAAUGUAAUCCAGAUGUCUCCUUUCUCAGUGUUCCCCAAUUCUGCCAGCCUCAUUGAUCAUUCCAACUAUUAGUAUUCAAAUAAAAAUGGCUUCCAUAUGUAAAAGGAAACUCAGGAU